CGGUUCUCGUUAGAUCACCGUAGUCAAGCAUCAUUGGGCGCGGUCAGUACUUGGGUGGGUGACCACCUGGGAACACCACGUGCCGU